GGGGUUGUGGCUCAGUGGUAAAGAGCUCGCCUAGUAUGCACGAGACACUGGGUUUGAUCCUCAGCAGCACCA
rnacentral:tRNA from 1 species